GAGGGUAUAGCUCAAGUGGUAGAGUGCAUGCUUAGCAUGCACAAGGUCUUGGGUUCUAUCCCCAGUACCUCCU
rnacentral:tRNA from 1 species